rnacentral:rRNA from 1 species
AUUGAACGCUGGCGGAAUGCUUUACACAUGCAAGUCGAACGGCAGCACGGGGGCAGCCCUGGUGGCGAGUGGCGAACGGGUGAGUAAUACAUCGGAACGUGCCCGGUCGUGGGGGAUAACGUAGCGAAAGUUACGCUAAUACCGCAUACGAUCUGAGGAUGAAAGCGGGGGACCUUCGGGCCUCGCGCGAUCGGAGCGGCCGAUGUCAGAUUAGGUGGUUGGUGGGGUAAAGGCCUACCAAGCCGACGAUCUGUAGCUGGUCUGAGAGGACGACCAGCCACACUGGGACUGAGACACGGCCCAGACUCCUACGGGAGGCAGCAGUGGGGAAUUUUGGACAAUGGGCGCAAGCCUGAUCCAGCCAUUCCGCGUGCAGGACGAAGGCCUUCGGGUUGUAAACUGCUUUUGUACGGAACGAAAAGGCCCUGGCUAAUACCUGGGGCUCAUGACGGUACCGUAAGAAUAAGCACCGGCUAACUACGUG